GCGAGCAAGAAAAUCGGAAGGAAAGAAAGCCAACGAAAAAAAUCGUCUUGGAACGAGGCCUCCAGGUGCCCUCGAGCUCGCACUCGCAUCAGGAGUGAUGCUACUUCUAGGCCACCACGCCACACCACCAGAUCCCUUCGCCGCCGCCUCGCACUCGCAUCCCAUCGCCGCCGCCCGUGUGUUCUCGAUCGGAGAGGACGCCCCCUUCGCCGCCGCUGAGAUCCAAGAAGAGUCGCCCUUCGCCGCCGCCUCCCUUGCAAGGACGCCCCGCCAUGGGUCUCUAUCGGUGCCACGACUGCCGCGGCCUCCCCACCUGCCGAUGCUCUAGAUCCGGCCGUAGUUGACUCCCUGUACAUCAUCUCAAGGGGGAGGGGCGUGAGGCGGUUGCCGCCGUCGGUGGCUGCACUUGAAGGUCUCCGCCGCUUGCUCCAACCAGAUCCAGCCAGACCGUCCAGUGGUGGUCCACGUGCAUCUGGACGGACGCAACGGCUUUGCCUCCCCUGUCCCAUGUCUUCGUCCACCACACCAUCCGAUUGCGCUUUGGAUCAGGACUAACCUCUAGCCAGGAAAGAGCCUGAAUCCCAAGUUUUAUUCCCAGUCGACGGCAGUGGCGGUGCCCACGUCCGCGUCAUCGGUGCUGCUAAGGGGCGCCUCACCCUGUUCGGCAUUAUCUUUUGUUCUUCCUACGGCUGCAAGAACCCUCACCUUGGCUAUGGCAGAUGCGACAGAUAAAGCAGACGGUCAUCUUCUCUCCUUUCUCUUUUACCAUUAGAGAAUUUUAGCCAAGCCUGCUGAGUAACACAAAGCUAUUAUAUGCGUUCAAUGGAAUGUCUGCAAUGCCAACAAUAUUCUGAGUAAAAAUGAACAAGGGUAACAUGCAUUGGAUGGCUCAAUUGUUUGUUGAACUAGGUUCGGUUUAGCUUGCUCUCACCAAUACAAAUUUUCCCACAGCUCAUGCGUUCAAAGAUGGUGAUUUCAAGAAUCUGUCAAGUUCAACAAAUCAUGCUUCUGUUUAUAGAAACUUAAAUAACAACAUACAUGUAAUUUGUUUGCUUAAUCACUUUAUUGUUCGUUACUCUCGAUCA